rnacentral:lncRNA from 1 species
UGCACCACCACACCCUGCUGAUUUUUUUGUAUUUUUAGUAGAGACAAGGUUUCACCAUGUUGGUCAGCCUGGUCUCAAACUGACCUGAGGUGAUCCACCCACCUCAACCUCCCAAAGUGCUGGGAUUACAGGCAUCGGCCACCGUGCCCAGCCAAACAUACAUGUUUUUAUGUUGUUGUUCUGGCUAUCUAGAGGAUUGGGAGCAGCAAUAGCCCAAUCACAGCGAGCACACCUGCUAUCCAGAUCUUGGUUUCUAAACACCAUUCUCCACCAAAAGCUCCUUUGAGAAACGGCUGAUUCCAGACUAGACAGGGGAAGCACAGGGUGGGCCUAGAACAUGUACCCAUCUCAGCAAAAAAGGAAGUGCUCAAAGAAUGACUGAGAUGUGUCAAAAGGAUACAGAAGUCAGCUUGAGGUGGUCACUGAAUAUGGGAGAAUUUGAGUAUUAAAAUAAAGAUGGCAACAGAUUAUAACCUAGUGGAUAAAAUAGAAAGCCAUGAAUCCAUACUGAACACAUGCAGAAUUUGAUGAGGAAAGGGAUUUUUUUUAGUAUCUCCCUCAAGAUACAUAUUCAUUAAGAGGCAAAAAGAGCAACUUUACAGUGUAGAAGCUGAGCCAACAAAUGCCACCGCAUGUGUUAUAAUACAAUAAGAAGACCGCACUACUCCUGAGCUAUUCCCACUAAAGAUGCAUCACUUGGCCCUAACCGUGAGGGCACAUCAGAGAAAUGAAAACCAAAGUGCAGGCUACAAAGCAAGUGUCCUAUUGAAACCACCUUUGCAAAAUUAUAACUCAGGAAAUUAUGACACUGGAAGAAAUCAGAUCUAACCAACUCCAUCUUGCUUCUAACCUUUAAGCUGUCCUUGUUCAUCCCUGGGCAUAGGCCAAACUAACUUUGGGAAGGAAUUCAAUUCGUGGUUGGACUCUGAAACAAAAUUGAUAAAACCCCUUUCCCAAAAAGACCCCCUUCUUGCCUGGGACCACUCAGCCUUUGCAGGACUAACAAAUUAGCUACAAGAUUAGAAAUUACUGGCCAGGCGCAGUGGCUCAUGCCUGUAAUCCCAGCACGUUGGGAGGCCAAGGCAGGCAGAUCACCUGAGUGCUUGAGAUAUUUUGCAAACCCUGCACUCAGUGGACCAGCUACCACCACCCAGACCAGUAAUCUGGCUCAACCAGUUCUGCCAUCCCACCCAAGAACAGAAAACAGCAAGAAAAACUCACUUCGACCCCCUGUGAUUCCAUCUCCAUUGCACUCUCCACUUCCCAAGCCCCUACCCACCAAAUUAUCUUUAAAAACUUUAAUCGCCAAAUGCUCAGGGAGACUGAUUUGAGUAUUAACAAAACUCUGGUCUCCCACACAGUCGACUCUGUGUGAAUUACGCUUUCUCCAUUGUCCAUUGCAACUCCCCUGUCAUGAUCAACCAGCUCUGUCUAGGCAGCGGGCAAGGUGAACCCACUGGACUGUUAAACUAUUAUCUCCAAAAAUGGCAAGGUCAUGUAGGUCGAGGGAAGACUAAAGAAGAAGACGUGACAAUUCAAUGCAAUAUGUGACCAUGGAUCUGGUCCUUUCACCAUAAAGGACAUUAUUGGAACAACUGGCAACACUUGGGUGGGGUCUGAGGGUUCAGUGGUGGCAAUGAGCCUGUGCUACCUUCCCGACGUCAAUGGCUGAGCAGCAGUUAUAUCAGAGCCGUUCGAACCAGAGCGACUCCAUCUUAAAUAGGAGCUGAGUAAAAUAAGGCUGAGACCUACUGGGCUGCAUUCCCAGAUGGUAAUGGCAUUCUAAUUUACAGGAUGAGAUAGGAGGUCGGCACAAGAUACAGGUCAUAAAGAUAUUGCUGAAAAAACAGGUUGCAGUAAAGAAGCUGGCUAAAACCCACCAAAAACCAAGAUGGUGCCGAGAGUGACCUCUGGUCAUCCUCAC